GGGUUUCAGCUUUACCGCCCUGGUGAAGCUGGGAGGUUCAGUGCAUUGGUCGGGCCGCCAAUG
rnacentral:ncRNA from 12 species